GGUGUUUUAUCAAAACAACUUGUACUAUAUCUUGAUUUAUAACAAAGGACCUUUUUAUUAAUUAUUUUAAAUAUGGGAUAAUCCCUAAGGCAAUUAAGCAAAUUCUUCUAGUUUUGAGUUAUGGGAGGUUUGAAAUCCACAUAAGUGUUUCGUCAGACGGUUCUGAUGGUCUUUCGAUUUUGCCUGUCAUUUUAUUGUGGACUUACCGUUUUAAAGUUUCCUCGGAGUUCGGUAUUUUUUUUUUUUUUACUUUUUUCUUCAUAAAUUAAGCGAGGGCGGUUGUUCUCAAUUUUUUUUUACUAUUUCUUACAUGUAUGUUGUUUCUCGCAUAAAAGCUUAGUAAAAGGACAGUAACUAAAGUUCGACAUAACAAAUAAGUAAUACGUAUAUUAAUAUUACUUGUAAGUGUACUCAUGCAGUUUGUUUAUAGGUGUUUCCCUCAUUUUUCCAGAACAUUCAACUGCCUGGCAGACUCUUU
rnacentral:lncRNA from 1 species